rnacentral:lncRNA from 1 species
AUCCUUACCCAGGCAGUAAUGGUAUAUGCCUUCUCUCAAAGUAUGUGUAAUUUUUGAUAUGAGGCAUAGUGAUAUUGCCUUCUCUCUCACCCUACUCUAAUAAGGUUUGAUAUCUGGGGCUCAUAGGUGGGAGACAGAUAAUACAUACUUACAAGACAUUUAUUGCAAAGUCAAACCAUGGAUCCAGAGAAACAAGUUAAUAAGUCAAAUCAAGAUGUGCAUGUGUGGCGAGUGAAUGAUGUAUGGUGAUGAUGGUGACAACAAUGGUGAAAGUCUAAUUUUACUUUUGCUCUCUUUAAGGGGAUACAUACCUUUCUUGCACUUUGAAGCUUUUUUGAGGAGAAUAAGAUGCUCUAUAUUUUAUUUUUCUUUCCUCUCAGGUGGGUAUCUUGUACCCCUAGUUCUACUGUCGAACACUUGUCCAUUUUUACCUCUCGUCUUACUUUUUCUUUUCUUUUGAGGUUUCGGGCACUUGCCCCUUUUUAUUUCCUCAUAUCUUUCUCUUUUUUUUAGAGCACUCGUCUCCUGAAAUGAUAUAGCAAGUGGUAUUAACCAAGAUAACUCGAGCAUUUAUUUCACAGGGAAAAACAGAAAUAGGAGAAUGCUUUUGGCUAUUCUCUCCCGGAUUAGGAGUAGAAUACUUUUGGGUGGCUCUGGAGAUGGAAAUGAGUGGAUAUAUGUGGAUGCGUACUUCCGAAGCAGAAGCAGCAUGUGUGAGUGAACGUGCAAGUGAAUCUUGAUUUUAACCGCAUGACAAGCUCCUAAGGGUCUACACAGCUUGACCACACUCAAUGCUCAUAAGCAGUAAAAAGUAAAUGUAUGGUUCAUAGUCUAAUAAGCAUGUAUAUAUGGCUGUGGUAGGAAUUUAAACUCUCAUCAUACAGGAACUCAUCAUGUGAUAUUUUAAAGAUUUUCAAAGAUAAAAUUCUCCAGAAUUCUAGCAUCUCUAGGAACAGAUAAACAACAGCUCAUCCUUUCCAUAUCAUAUCCAUUAACGACUUAGACUUUAGAUCAAGUACUCUUCCCACAAGUUCAGGUUUAGAGCAGGUUUAAAUUAUAACAGUUAUGCCUAAACUUGAGAGAGAUUUUAAUUUUGAGAACUAGUCAUGGCACAGCAACUAUUCAUCAUUUUCAUGUGCGAGAUUAUCAUGAGGGUUCAUAACAAACUUUAUUUAUUUAUUUAUUUAGCAAACUAAGCAAAGAUAUAUAUAAGCACAAAAAUCAUUAUUUGGGUUUUUAUGAUUAUGCAUCUUUUUAUUAUUUGAGUAAAGUAUAAACGCGAGUAGAAACACUUAGGUGGAUAAAUGGGGGUGCUCUCCCCCAAGCUGGAUUUUGAUGUAGCUAGCAGGUGAUGGAGGUGUAUUUGAAUGUCAGUAGCACCCUGACAGCGAUUAGGAUGUCCUCCGUCUGCUAGUCUUCUUUGAUCCUUGAAUUCUGUGGAGCUCAAAUAGACAACAAAGCUUUGUGGAACUGGUUAAGUCUUAGCAUAAAAUCUCUUUGCCUUUAUCAUGUUGAGCUUCCUCUAAUAAAUAUUACUCUCUUUGGUAGGAUCAUAAAUUUAUUUUUAUUUUUAUAGGACAGGAAUAUAUUUAUUUUAUUUUUAUGCCACCACAGUGAGUGUACUUAUGGGUUUUAUGCCAUGAGCAUACUCACAUGGGACUUACUAUUUUUAACAUUUUUAUUUUCUUUUCAAGAUAGCAUGAACCUGAUUAACUAAGCAAACUAUUGAAAGGAAAAGGAUAACUACCAAGUUUACCUCUUGGCAAGACAUUCGGUGUUUUUAAGUCCUCCGAACGGGACUCUCCGUUUUUUCGGUCGUCCUGGGAUUCGCUAGAUGGCGUAGUCGGUGGUUCCGGCGGUGCCUCUUCCUCGUGUAUAACUAUCUUCUCUCUCCUCACCUGACUUGUUGCUAUGGUCUCCUCAGGACAAUUCUGUUCAAGCUGUAUGUCUUCAGACCUUACUACUUCUCCUUCGUAGUCUGCCCUGUUGAUACUAGCUAACACCACUUAGAUACUAGGUUGUCAUCCCCAGCAUGGUGCCAGAGUGUACAAAGGUAUUUAUAAAUGUAAAGGCUCUCUAGAAAAUAAUCUAUUCUAUCCGCAAGCACACAGAUAAAACACCUCAUUGUAGCAUUUCACCAGGAUAAGUAUUCCAGGUAUCGUUAUUUAUAAUUUUGCUCAAGGGAUGAAAUUAAAGUAAAGGGGGCAAAAUCUAUCAAGGCAUAGACUAGAGAUAAACUUGCAAGAACAUGAUUACUAAUGAGAAACUCGUCACACAGUCACUUACUUUAGCAGGGGGUAAACCAUAAAGAAAAUGAUAAUAAAGUAUAAGUUCAUGGGU